rnacentral:lncRNA from 1 species
CUUGGCUAGCGUGACUGUGUGAGUUUCUUUCUAAGAAUAACACGUAACUUUAUUGAAUACCACGAAUCAUUACAUAAAGUUUUAUGGAUGCAUUCGGGGUACGGAACCUGAAAAUAGAAAAAAACAAACUUAUCUGUAGAACGAAAGCUAACACAUGUACCAGCCACAUGAAAGAAAGAUAUUUUUUAUAGAAUGCAACCUAACGGUUGGAUCAUCGAUUAAAGAAAAAUGAACAAAAGAUACGAAGAAAUUGAACAAAAAUGCACGGGUGGGCUGGACAUUAAAUGUUCUGAACAACCACACCCACAUAGCUACGAUCUAACACAGAAGAAUUCAGGCUGAGAAGCUUAUCGGAAGCUUCGUCCAUCGCUUCGCAAUAGCUUUGGCAAAUUAACGAUUCACCAUGUCAGAAAAAAAAAGUUCAUUGCAAGCAGUAACACAAACGCCUUGGUGGUUCUUGGACCCUAUUUGUUUGGGCUUUUGAUUUAGUUUUUGAUGGUUCUAACCCUCUAAAAAGCACGUCACCCGUUUACACAUGAAGCUAAGAAGCACAUCCGGAGGUGCUUCCCUUCUCAGCUCACGUGUAAACGAAAAAAGUGCUUUUUAGAAAGUUAGAAGCAUAAAAAACCGAAACAGAAGCCCAAACAAAACGGACCUCGAUAACAUCCUCGAUUCCCAUCUGUCAAGAGGAAUAAAACAAAGCCACAAAGACGUAUGGAUGCCUUUGGGAAUCAAAAGGGCAUGGCGUUCAGAUCAUGACUUUUUUUUUAUGUUGUGAGUUGAGCCCAUUAACACUAACAUUGACUUUUUUAAAACCUUUGUGUCUAGAGAUGAAGUUUGAAUUUGGAUGUAAAAUUUUGUGACACAUGGAUGGGUAUGACAAUGAUAUUGUGAACAAUUAGUAACUUUUUUUAUGAGUUUUUAGUUUAGCAUUUUUAGGGGUUUAGCGAAGUAUACAGCUUUUAGGUGGUGUUUUGGGUCGGUUAUGCCUGUGCACUAGUUGUAACCAUUUUUUGAGCGAAAGUUGUAAGAGCAUCUCCAGCCGACCCCCUAAAUACCCCCCAAACGUCAAAUAAAGGGUGUUGGCGCUGAAAAAUCCAACCAGCCACUCCACUAAAUCCAAAAAGU